GGUGGCUCAGUGGUAGAGUGCUUGCCUCACAUGCAUGAGAUCCUGGGUUCAAUUCCUCAGCACCA
rnacentral:tRNA from 1 species